GGCCUAGGCAAACACGGGGAAGAGGGUUGGGAUGAAAAAAAGCACAUCAUCUGCUCCAUUUUAGCGGUAUAUAAGCCUCUCGAUCUUUGUGUGAUUUUGACGUUGUCAAGGUUCCACGGUUUUGCUGUUGAAGUCAACCAGUGCACGCAAUUUUAUCUUACCUAGUCCAAAGAAAGGACGGACAGUUGCUUAAGACUUUGGAGACAUCCAGAUGAUAGCCAUUCUUCCUGUUCUGAUUUCCUUUGUCCUGUCACAGUUACUGGGUGUACUAUGGUAUUCCCAGUGGCUGUUUGGCAGAGUUUGGGCAAGGCAUGCAUUCCCUGGCAAAUCAUAUGAAGACAUUGGCAAGAAUGCAUCCAGCAGGACUUAUAUCAUAGCAGCAAUAGCACAUGCUGUGAUUGCCAUAGUGAUGUGCUAUAUACUUGGGGAGGUAAUGGCCGUAUCAACAUUAGGUGGUGCAAUGAAGAUCUCUGCUCUCAUUUCUACACUAAUAUGUGCAGUGCAAAUACCACAGUAUUUAUUUCAAGAACUCUCUUUCACAUUGUUUUUUAUAAAUGUGGGCUACUGUGCAGUAACAAUAUUUUCCAUGGGACUAAUGCUUAGCAUAUUGAGUAUUCACAUUUUGCCUGACUGGCUUCUGUAGUGCUUAGUGUUUUUUUUUUUCAUAUUCACGUUUUUGCAGUAGAUUACUCGAUGAAAUAAGAACAGUAAAUUUUUAAAACAUUAUUUAUUGCUAUGAUGCUGUAAUUAAGUUUUUGCAUAUCAUGUUUUUUUUUUUUUUUUUGGUUUGUUCCAUAUAAUAGUUUGUCUGUCCAUAUGUCUGUUUGUUUAAGGAAUAUCUCAUAAGGUUGUAUUAAACAUUAAUGGAUAUAUUUUUAUGUACUUCAAAAUGCUCUCAAAAUACUUCCAGUUGAAUUUAAAUGUAAAUUCAGUGUUAUAAGUACUGUUAUUUUUCUGUUGAUCACCUUGGCCAGGAGAUCUUAAGAACAAGUACUGACAAUUCCAGAAAUUGUCAUGCAUAAUAUUUCUAGACUUCCAGACUGUAAGGUUCAAAUGUAAUUGUCUAGCUGGAAAUCACUCGUGUUGGGCAAACAGUUUGUUUUAAAAGGGGAAUCAUGUCUUUGCUUUUGGUUGUAUGUUUACCUCAUUUAAGAGUUAAUAUUUUUAUCAUAAUUGUAUAUUUUGAAAAGUAUGGGGUUAAUUAUGAAAUAAUUUUUGAUGUUGUUAGCAAAUGAGUAAACAAAUCAUGUUGACUUGAUCUUUUCAAGUUAAAAUGCUGCUGUAGCUUAGUGCAUAGAAUAGCUUUUACACCUAAAUAUUCUGUUCACCUUACAGGAGAAACUUUUGGCAGAUACAGUUGACUACUAUUGUGAUAUGGAAUUUGACCACUGUAUAUUUUAGAUACAUACUUUUCUUUGAAUUCCUAAUAUUCCAGAGCAUAUUAAAGUUGUACAAUGCUAGUCUAUCACAAAAUCCAUAAUGAUUUGAACAUGUAUGAAAAGCAGUUGUAUUUUAUUAAACAAACUUGAUAUGAUUUGAUUGAAAAAGAGAGAUUUACACAUAUUUUCUUCAUAUUGAAGAAAGUGGUCAGAAAGGUGAUAAAUUUGCCCUUUUGUAAAUUUUUAUUGAAGGAGUGGUUGAAGACAAGGAAGUGAAAUUCUAAUGUCUAACUGCUCUGUGAACAUAUCAAGUGAAUAUUAAAACAUAUUAAGAAAAUUUGUGUUGAGUCAUGAUCUGUUCUAAUUUUAGAUGCUGGGCUAUGGAUAGAUGCAAUAUCAACUCACUCAAAUGAAAAGAAAGAUAACAUUGCAGAGUACUUGACUUUAUAGCACAGUAGACCACAUAACUGUUUACAGGCUAAAAAUAGUACAGCUUUAGUGGCUUAGAGAAUUUUGCAAAGAAUGGCCAACAGUCUAGUGCUUUUCUAUUGGAACUAUGUCAUCCCCCGUUAGUUUCUAAACCUCGAGUUAAAAAUCAAGAGUACCUCUGAUGACUGAAACAUAGUUAAAAAUUCAAUUUAAUAACAUUCAUUUUUAUGAAUUCUUCUUUCUUUAA